rnacentral:rRNA from 1 species
UACGGAGGGUGCAAGCGUUAAUCGGAAUUACUGGGCGUAAAGCGCACGUAGGCGGACUGUUAAGUCGGGGGUGAAAUCCUGAGGCUCAACCUCAGAAUUGCCUCCGAUACUGGCAGUCUCGAGUGCGGGAGAGGUGAGUGGAAUUCCCAGUGUAGAGGUGAAAUUCGUAGAUAUUGGGAAGAACACCAGUGGCGAAGGCGGCUC